GAAAUGGACUGAAGAGAUAUUUAAUGUGUCAAGAGCUCUACUUCCGGGAGACCAAUAUUUCUUUUUUAUUCAGUUAUUUCAAGGAGGGCUCCCAGUAAAUUUUGCUUGGUAAGGAGAUUAAUUUCAGAGCCAUGGACUCCCGUAGGAUGUUUACGUUGCAGAAACCCAGGGCUUUGUUAUUUAUUUCUUCUGUCAGAAAAGCAAGACAGCAAUAAACUACCGCUUAACUUGUAAAUCACAGAAGUGACUAACCUGAACGAAAGUUAUUUGAGGACCAAGGAAGAGGGAUUAUUUAUUCUACUGUAAGAACUGAUCUACAAAGAGAUGAUACGUUUUCUGAUCAUGCUUAGCUUCUCAAAUAAGUUAAUUCCUUUUUCUGGUCA
rnacentral:lncRNA from 1 species